rnacentral:rRNA from 1 species
CGCACCUUGCACCCUUUGGUAUUCCGAAGGGUACGCCCGUUUGAGCGUACAUUGUAAUCUCACUUCUACCGCUUUGUUGUAGUAGAAUGUGGACUUGGACGUCUGCCGUGUCACAGCGGCUCGUCUUAAAUGCCUGAGUGUACCCUACUUUGCGGUGUAUUCGGUGUGAUAAACAUUUCACCGGAGUUUUGGUCUCUGACCGCACUUAGCAAUUGGUGGGCUCUAUGCUUUCCAACCGUCUUUACAGACAAUCUUUGACAAUUUGACCUCAAAUCGGGCGGGACUACCCGCUGAACUUAA